rnacentral:lncRNA from 1 species
UCUUUCACUCUGUAAUAACAGAGAAUUAUUUUUGGCUUCAUCUUCAUUUUGGGAUCAGUCUGACCUCUAUUCUCUCAAAAUUGCAAACUUGUGUGCUUAUUUUGGAUGAUUUCAUGCAACAAAUCUGAAGAGUUUGACCAAGAUCUCCAUAUGAACUUUUUGGGAAGACUGGACAAGACUGAGAACUCAUUUUUUCUGUUUUCUUUUGGCCAUUUUUGUCUUAAGUUUCUGAUCCAUCUUUGUCUCUGUCGUAAUGUAUUGGAAAUGGCUUCCAACAUUCAAAUUUCAAAAGGCCAUUCUUAUUUUAACUCCCCCCAAAUCCCACCCAAAAUUUGAAGAAAUAAGGCUUUCAUUUGUCAAUAUAAAAAUGAGUCUUUGCAGUUAUUUUUAACCAUGCAUUACUGCCUCUAUAAUACCUUAAACCACUAUUUUUUUU